CAAAUUGACAGUUCAUACGAAUCGUUCGCGACUUAAUAGUUAAGCCGCGCCUUAUUUUCACUCGUACGUAUAGCCCUAUAUAGAUGGUCUUGUUUUCCUACCUUCGCCGUUAGCGGCAAUUGUUGAUGCAAACCCACUUCCUAUAUCAUGUUUUAUAUUCAUAAUGUCUAUUCCAUCUCUUGAGGAAGAAAAAUAGUUCCCUAAACUGUCUUUUGAAGGGUUUUUGUUGUCUUCUGGAGACGCCAUUGAUGAGGAGACAUAUAAUCGUUUGGAGUUCGGUC